rnacentral:rRNA from 1 species
AGAGUUUGAUCCUGGCUCAGGACGAACGCUGGCGGCAUGCCUAACACAUGCAAGUCGAACGGAGUUAUUAUUCAGAAGUUCUUCGGGAUGGAAGGAUAAGAACUUAGUGGCGGACGGGUGAGUAACGCGUGGGUAACCUGCCCUUUUGUGGGGAACAACUUCGAGAAAUCGGAGCUAAUACCGCAUAAUAAUAGAGGAUCGCAUGAUUCUUUAAGGAAAGAUGGCCUCUGAAGAUGCUAUCGCAAAAGGAUGGACCCGCGUCUGAUUAGCUAGUUGGAAGGGUAACGGCCUACCAAGGCAACGAUCAGUAGCCGGCCUGAGAGGGUGAACGGCCACAUUGGGACUGAGACACGGCCCAAACUCCUACGGGAGGCAGCAGUGGGGAAUCUUCCGCAAUGGGCGAAAGCCUGACGGAGCAAUGCCGCGUGAGUGAAGAAGGCCUUCGGGUUGUAAAACUCUGUCCUUAUCGAAGAGAGGUAGGUAUGUGAAUAAUGUACCUAUAGGACGGUAGAUAAGGAGGAAGCCCCGGCUAACUACGUGCCAGCAGCCGCGGUAAUACGUAGGGGGCGAGCGUUGUCCGGAAUCACUGGGCGUAAAGGGCGCGUAGGCGGUUUAAUAAGUCAGUGGUGAAAACUGAGGGCUCAACCCUCAGCCUGCCACUGAUACUGUUAGACUUGAGUAUGGAAGAGGAGAAUGGAAUUCCUAGUGUAGCGGUGAAAUGCGUAGAUAUUAGGAGGAACACCAGUGGCGAAGGCGAUUCUCUGGGCCAAGACUGACGCUGAGGCGCGAAAGCGUGGGGAGCAAACAGGAUUAGAUACCCUGGUAGUCCACGCCGUAAACGAUGGAUACUAGGUGUUAGUAGUUUCGAUGCUACUAGUGCCGGAGUAAACACAAUAAGUAUCCCGCCUGGGGAGUACGGUCGCAAGACUGAAACUCAAAGGAAUUGACGGGGGCCCGCACAAGCGGUGGAGCAUGUGGUUUAAUUCGACGCAACGCGAAGAACCAUACCAAGACUUGACAUCCUCCUGACAAGAUAUGUAAUGUAUCUCUUUUCUUCGGAGACAGGAGAGACAGGUGGUGCAUGGUUGUCGUCAGCUCGUGUCGUGAGAUGUUGGGUUAAGUCCCGCAACGAGCGCAACCCUUAUUUCUAGUUGCCAGCAGUAAGAUGGGGACUCUAGAGAGACUGCCAGUGACAAACUGGAGGAAGGUGGGGAUGACGUCAAAUCAUCAUGCCCCUUAUGUCUUGGGCUACACACGUGCUACAAUGGUCAGAACAGAGGGAAGCGAAGCCGCGAGGUGGAGCAAAUCCCAGAAAACUGAUCUCAGUUCGGAUUGCAGGCUGCAACCCGCCUGCAUGAAGUCGGAAUCGCUAGUAAUCGCGGGUCAGCAUACCGCGGUGAAUACGUUCCCGGGCCUUGCACACACCGCCCGUCA